AUGUGAGGAAGUUUUAUGUGUCUAGUUCUGAUCUGUAAAGUUUCGCACCAUUUUGACUCAAAUUGAAUUUUUAGUCAAUUUCCCAAAUUGAAGUGUUUCUACCCAAAUUGUUUAACAAAAUAUUUAUUUGGUCAUCUAUGAUUUACUGAAAACUACUCCAUACUCUAUUUGUUGAAUUGUCUUUUUGCUUAGCAAUGGUUGAAGACCAAAUUGAAGUGCCUAGAAAAUUAGGAAGGUCGUGCUAUGUGCUGAAGAAAACUGUGUCUCGUAGGCUUGAAAAUAUGAUAAAGAAUUCUAGUUUUUCACUAGGAUCAUACUCUGUUAGCUUGUGUUUUCACUUUUAAAGCAUUUUUCAUGUUAUUUUAUUUCAAUUCAAUCCUGUUUUUCUACAUUUAGAUCUCUUUUUAUUUCAAUUCUUCAUUGUAUUCUAGUGGAAACUGAAAAAGUUGUCAUUCAGUGUUUCUAUAUGCAUUGAAAAUAUUAAAACCAAUGAGCGAUUGCCUUAUUUGGGUUUGUGGUUCUCUUUAUCUUAUAAUGUGUUUAGAACAAUAACAUUUAGGAGUCUAACUUUACUGAGGUAAUAUUCUGUUUUUGCAUGUGAGAUUAUUUGAGGAGGUGGAAGGAUUUGGUUUGGGGUUUUGGACAGAGGACCAUUUGAGGAAGAUUGAUGACUUUGAGAAGAUCAAGCAACAAUUGGCAUAGUGCUUGGGAAUUCCACCAUAUUAGAUCAUAGUCCCUAUCCCACAAUGUUAAAGAUCAUGACCACAAAACUUGGAAUUACAAAGGCAUAGUACACAUGCAUUUUUCCAGUCGAAACCUAGUCUUAGAGUGGGGGAAUAAUAACUGCAGAACUUGGGUUUACCAAGGGCAAGAAUAUAUGGAGCUUGGCCUCCAAUCUUUGAGUGGAGAGUUCUUCACACGUUUAUGUCACUAUGUAAUGUGUACUUGAAUAAUUAGUACGCUUGUGUACUUUUGAAUGAGAGAAACUUUUAUUCAUGUCA